AAAAAUUAAAAAAAAAAAAAAAACAAAAACAGCAGAACGUGAAAAAUGGAGGCUCUGGUGUGUGUGAAAUUGGGGGAUCCAGUGGGGAAAAUGGACGAGAAUUCCCCAAUAGUAUUGAGCAAAAACCACCCAAUUCCACAACUGGACUCCCCCACCGCAGUUAGAGUGAGAGUGAAAGCCACAAGCUUGAACUAUGCCAAUUACCUCCAGAUUUUGGGCAAAUACCAAGAAAAGCCUCCCCUGCCUUUCGUCCCUGGCUCCGAUUACUCCGGUAUUGUCGAUGCCGUCGGUCCUAAUGUCUCCAUUUUCAAGGUUGGGGACCGUGUCUGUUCCUUCGCUUCCCUCGGCUCCUUCGCUCAAUUCAUCGUCGCGGAUCAAUCCCAACUGUAAACUUAUUUCUUCCUUUGAUUGCUUAUUUUUUUUUAUUUAAAAAAAUUAUUUUGCUGCUUUUGUCCUAUUUCGAUUUUCUUCUUUUUAUUUCGAGAAAGGUUUCGAGUGCCAGAGGGAUGUGAUCUGGUGGAGGCCGCUGCACUGCCCGUCGCUUUUGGAACCUCCCAUGUCGCUCUUGUCCACAGAGCUCACUUGACCUCUUCUCAGGUGUUGCUGGUUCUUGGAGCCGCUGGAGGUGUUGGCCUUUCUGCUGUACAAAUUGGCAAGGUUUGUGGUGCCAUUGUUAUUGCCGUUGCUAGGGGAGAUGAAAAGGUAGAGUUUUUGAAGUCAUUGGGAAUAGAUCAUGUGGUGGACUCUAGCAAAGAAAACGUCACUGUGAGUGUCAAGGACUUCCUCAACGCAAGAAAACUUAAAGGUGUAGAUGUUUUGUAUGAUCCUGUUGGAGGCAAGUCCACUAAAGAAGCCUUGAAACUUCUGAAUUGGGGUGCUCAAAUUCUGGUCAUUGGGUUUGCUAGUGGGGAAAUACCUGUCAUCCCAGCAAAUAUUGCUCUGGUUAAGAACUGGACCAUACAUGGACUUUAUUGGGGUAGCCACAGAACACAUCGUCCAGGUUUUCUGGAAGAUUCUUUCGGGGAGCUACUCUCUUGGAUGGAAAAGGGCCUGAUUACUAUCCACAUUUCUCAUAUUUACAGCAUGUCAGAGGCAAGCCUCGCCUUUUGUGCUAUUAGAGAUCGGAAAGCUAUUGGAAAGGUGAUGAUUGCUUUUGAUGAUAAAACAAGUCCAACAUCUAAGCUUUGAUUUAGUCAGGCUUGAGCAGGAAUAGAAUGCAGAAUGUAAUCCUUGGCUCUUGAAUAUCAGAAUCUUGUCCUUACAAUCCUUAACCACUACAUAAUGUCAUAAUUUGUAGAUUCUAUGAUCAGAUAAAAAAAGAUUGGCAAACAAUAAGGAUACAAGAAAUUGUCAAAUAAAGGAAUCAGUUAAAAUACUGUUAAUAUAAUAAACUGGAACAAAUGAAAAUGCAAUUGCUUUUUCCUGCCUGAUGGGAUGCAUUUAGCGUUUGGUGGCACUGGGACAGAUUACGAGCCCGUUUGGGAUUGCGUUUCAUAUGGAAAAAAGCUGGUUUUAGUCUAAACGUGGUUUUUAAAUCUGUUAGGUAAAAUAUUGUAACCACGUGUUUUGAAAAAGCAUCAAAAUUGAUUAAUUUAUGUAUGUACUCCCAUGCAUGUAGUCUGCUGCUUGCAGCUAUUUUGAGAAUGACUCUUGCGAUUCCAAUUUUUGUUCUCUCAUUCGUGGAUUGGGAGCUGUGAUUGAUCUUGGAGGAUUGCUUUAUGCCUUCUCUGCCAGUUCCUUUUCCACUAGCAAACUUUAUAAUGCAUUUUGGUUAAGUUUGUAAAGCCCCUUUCAGAUUUGAUGUUGCUAUUUUCCGUGUUUGGCCUUGUAAUUCGAUUACAGGAACCGUACGAGUUGAGGCCGACUUCCGGAGAUGGCCUCUUCUCAUCUAGGCGGUCUUCUUGCUGAUACGUGUAAUAAAGAGAGCGUCUCUAAUAAAGGAUACGUGUACGAGAAGACAGUAUGGGAGAAGGACUGCUCGCCCCGAUCGCUGUAACCGGCCUUAAUA
rnacentral:misc_RNA from 1 species